rnacentral:lncRNA from 1 species
GUCCCAGCCCUAAUGCUGAAGGCUUAGACCAUCACAUUCAUUCAAGUGCAUUUCUGAGCACAAUGGCACACAGCAUCAAGUUUUACGCCCUUCAAUCUAUUUACACUGCAGAGCAAAAUGUGUGCAUUGUGCAUUUGUUGUCUCCAUCUCUUUCUUCUAAUAAUAAGGGAAAAAAUUCUCUUAAUUGCUUAGUUUAUUAUAGCUGGCAUUUCAUUUUGUAUCACACAAAAGACAAACAAACCCUGCAGUUUAUCUCUCCCCACCCCCAAUCCCUUUUUAUUCUUUUUACCAUGGGAAUUUUAAUAAAUCAAUGACAAUAAGAACACUUACUGGAAAGUAGUAGAUGCUUGAAAAUUACUAUUUUUAUUUCCCAUGGGUUAACACCUGCACAUCAGAAUAGAAUCAAGCAACAUAUUAUGUACAGUAAAAGGUUUCUGGCUACUGAAAUGAAGAAGCCAAUCCAUUAUAAAACAACAUUAACUCUUUGCGUGCUGCUUUUGCUCUGCUUUCUGUGGGAAGCUGCCCAAUGUACUCAGUGAAUUUUCAGAAUUAGGGGUGGUUUCGAUUCAAGUCCAUUUCACCCCUCACUUGCAGAGGAAGAAAGGAACAAAGAAAUCUUAAGUAGAAUUUUGACUCUAUAACACUAGUGACUGGAUCUCUUCCAGACGUUGAUAGGUGUCGUUUUUUAUUCUGCACUUCUUUUAAUGGGGGCCAGGUGACCAUCUGCCAUAUCAUCUGGGGUAAGCUAUGGCCAAAAGGUGCAGUUUUUAUCCUGGACAUAUGCAGAAUUGGGUUAUUAAGAAGGUUUCUGGCAGCAGAACCCCUUAUGCAUAAUUUUCCUGGCUUACAGAGAAACAAAGCUUGGAUGUCCUGUAGCUCCUGGCAACUCAAGUGGCACACGCUUACAAAAGCAUCAGUUUGAAAGCGCUCUGUACCUUUUCUAAAAUAUCUUCCACCUACUUUAAAGCUGUUUCCAGUGAAUAGUGGGUUUGCAUAAGAGUGGGUCAGCCCCAUAGGACUAAGGAAUGAGCUGCAUAGCUCAGUGGGUAGAGCGUGAGACUCUUAACCUCAAGGACAUGGGUUUGAGCCCCACAUUGGACAAAAGAUUUCUCAUUACAGGGGGUUGAACUAAAUGACCUUUGGGGGUCCCUUCCAACUUUAACAUUCUGUGAUUCUUAGAAAGAGUAUGGACGUACUAUAAGAAUGUGGGGCUGUCAUCAAAGACUAUAGGACUGUGGCAGACUCCACCACCCACUGCAUCGGUGUCUUAAUGUUUAGUUGCCCCAUAUCCUAGCACGACAGUAUUUUGUGUUUUCCUUGUCCAUUGGCUGAAAGGAACAAAUAGACCUCAUAAUAAUGUCAGGAUACAGAAUAUGCUGAACUUUUCAUAAUAUUAUUAUUAUCACCAUCAUCAUUUAUUUAUGCAGUGCCAACAAUGUACAUGGCACUGUGCACAAUCAGAAUAAGAAUUCUACCCCGAAGGGCAUACAAGAAAUACUUGAAAUACUACUACAGUGGUACCUCGGGUUAAGUACUUAAUUCGUUCCGGAGGUCCGUACUUAACCUGAAACUGUUCUUAACCUGAAGCACCACUUUAGCUAAUGGUGCCUCCCGCUGCUGCCAUGCUGCUUGAGCACGAUUUCUGUUCUCAUCCUGAAGCAAAGUUCUUAACCUGAGGUAAUAUUUCUGGGUUAGCGGAGUCUGUAAUCUGAAGCGUAUGCAGCCUGAAGCGUAUGUAACCUGAGGUAUCGCUGUACAAGAAAUAAUAAAAUAAAAACCAAUAGUUUAAAAUGCACAAUUCACAAGCCGUUACAUCAGCUGUGCUAAAACAGCCGCACCAAUCUGAACUCCUAGUAUAGGGUCAACAAGGCUUGAUCAGCUGAUGGCUGAUCCACUGCUGAGAGCCACAGUGGAGAGCCCUUGAGCUUGUUCCUCUGGGCGGUGGCACCCAUAAAUACCUGAGGGGUGGGAGGAACAAACACAAGCUUGGAAUACAGGCUGAAGUUUCUCAGGUGUUUCCCUUCUCUCUCACUGCUGCUUUCUCCUCCAACGAGGUCUUAUGGAGGGAGAAGGAAAAACUUGAUUCUGGGAGUCAUAGUCCUGUGGAUGGAGGAGUGAUUAUUCCCAGAGUGGUGUAAAAACCAAUCCUCCUUCUUGGAGAACGCUGGGAAUCAUAGCUCUGUGAGGGGAACAGGGGUCUCAACAAACUACCGUUCUCAGGAAUCUUUGGGGUAAGCCACAGCUUUUAAAGGGAUAUCAUGGUGCUUUGAAUGCAAGGCACAGAUGUGGCCCUAAUCACAUGCAAGUAGUCCUGACUAGCGUAACUGGAAAGGAUAUUUUUUGCUUCUGAAAAGCAUUCAAGAGCCUAAUAAUGCCAGUUUUUUGAAGCAAUGUGUUUUGGACCCGUUGGAAGGCUGAAUUCAUCAAAAUCUUGCUCUGUCGGUGUCCUAAAAGUAAUAAACAAUAUGUCAUUAAAAUCAAUAUCGACCUUGCUGGGCUUUUCAGAAACUACCGUACUACAGUUACUGAAAAGCUGGGUUAAUCUCUGACUAAAUCCAUGAGUAAUUUGGGCUUUUACUGUGUUUUCAGCGUUUUUCCCUAGAAAGCAUGCCACAGACAAGGGAGGAGAAAUGUUAAAAUGGGCAGCUUUAGCAGCAAUCUCUGGGUUUUAAGUUCUUAGAAGAACAUUGCAUCUGGUUUCCAGGCACGGUAUCUAACACCCUUUCUUGUUAUUACUAGAUUAUAAUGAUUUAUAAAAUGGAAUUGUUGCACAAAGAGAGGGAGGGAGAGAAAACGAGUUCUGCCACAAACUAGUCUCUUAAAAUAGGAGUUUGUUUGUUUAGAAUAUUGAAUCCUUCGUGGGACCAGCACAUUUUGCUCCAGUUUCUUCCCCCUAUUUUACACUGUGACCGGGGUCUGAAGCAUUAGUCUGCAUAAGUCAGAACUGUGCCACUGGUUCUUAUCUUUGGCCUGGUGGGCUAUGAUAAAUGGCUCACAGAUGGUUUAUGGACAGAUGUUGAAAAGAAGAGGGUGAACAGUUCACUCGCAUCCUAUCCAGCAAAGGUCAGGCGGGAAGAAAGAAGUUUAAGCAUCAGGCGCAUGCCGUAGAGUAUUUGCAUUGAGAUUCUCCGUCUGAGCAUCUUUCUGUAGGAAACCCAGUUUAUGUAGGAAACAGUCAGUGAUUGCCAGGUUGGAUGUCUGAGUAUCUUCCCCUCCUGGCUGUACUGUGUCCUUGCUGCCAGCACUCAGCAUGCUCAGGCAGGUACAGGGGUGCCAGAACCCCAGCAGCCACCACCAUCGCUGUCAACAGGCUGCUGCAUCUACCAUAGCUUCUCCUGCUGAGGUUUGCCAGGUGCCAGCCGGGUGCCUGCCCACAAGAGCAUCUUGCAUGGAUGGUAGGGGGUGGCUUGGUUGCCAUGUUGAACAGAGCGGAGCAGGUCUACCUCUGAACUCAGCUGUGUUUUAAUGCUGCUGGCAGCCAAAAGCCUUCUGCUGAUUCUAAGGAUGCUCAAAUCAAUAUAUUAUUAUCCUGCUUUGAGGAUAGAACGAGGUUGCCCAUGUUCAUGGGUUAGUUCUGACAAGGGGAAGAGGGUCACAUUUCCUGCUGGGUAUACUUCUUUUUUAAAUUUUAUUUUACAGUUUAUUUUGACAAAGCAAUAACCAUAAAUAAAUGAGAAUAAAAAUGCGCACCCCACAACUGAGACCAUUCCAUUUCAUUGCAACUACCCAUUGGGUAAUCUUCUCAGGGUCAUAUGCCAGAGGGUAAAGGGGUGGAGCAACAGAUGCAAAUUUGACCUUUCAUUUAAUUUCGCUUUUAGUUCGUAUGCCGCCUUUCUGUAUUACCAUGCACAAAGCGGUUUACGAGCUGAAGAACAAAAUGGACAGCAAACAUCACACACCUAAUAACGAUCUGAUCC